rnacentral:rRNA from 1 species
AGAGUUUGAUCAUGGCUCAGGAUGAACGCUGGCGGCGUGCCUAACACAUGCAAGUCGAACGAGAAGCUAACUUCUGAUUCCUUCGGGAUGAUGAGGUUAGCAGAAAGUGGCGAACGGGUGAGUAACGCGUGGGUAAUCUACCCUGUUUUAGUGGGGGAUAACCCUCCGAAAGGAGGGCUAAUACCGCAUAAUAUCUUCUCCUCUAAAAGAGAAGAAGAUUAAAGAUGGCCUCUAUACUAUGCUAUCGCUUCAGGAUGAGCCUGCGUCCUAUUAGUUAGUUGGUGGGGUAAUGGCCCACCAAGGCAAUGACGGGUAGCUGGUCUGAGAGGACGAUCAGCCACACGGGCACUGAGACACGGGCCCGACUCCUACGGGAGGCAGC